rnacentral:rRNA from 1 species
AGGACGAACGCUGGCGGCGUGCUUAACACAUGCAAGUCGAGCGGUGGUCCUCCUUCGGGAGGUGAUCAGCGGCGAACGGGUGAGUAACACGUGGGCAACCUGCCCCUCACACUGGGAUAACCUCGGGAAAACCGGGGCUAAUACCGGAUACGACCUCGAGCGGCAUCUCUUGAGGUGGAAAGCUCCGACGGUGAGGGAUGGGCCCGCGGCCUAUCAGCUUGUUGGUGGGGUAAUGGCCUACCAAGGCGACG